GUAAUAGCAAGAGCCACAAAUUCAAGCUUUGUAAGAUUUGACAUUGUGAUAGCUUAAAAGAAAAACAUAAAUGUUAGUAUUACACAAUAUAUCGUAAUUGGCAAGCAAAAUAAUAAAUUGACUGAUGAAAAACAGUUAAUAUAAAAUUGAAAAUUGACUUAUUAUAAAUUUGUAAAAUUUGGGCAAAACACUGAAGUGAUAAUAGACAAAAAUCACCUGAAGAAAAAUUGAACUUCGACUUUGUGAAGCUUAAGUGUGAGAGAGAAUCGUGCUGAUAACAUGUUAUAAAAAUAACUUAAAAGAACAAAUAAAGAUAACUGAAAGAACAAGAAAA
rnacentral:lncRNA from 1 species